UAAAACGGAAGUGGCAAGCGUUGUCCGAAAUCACUGGGCGUAAAGCGGGCGUAGGCGGGUAAAUAAGUUGGAUGUGAAAACCAGCUGCUCAACGGCUGACCUGCAUUCAAAACUAUUUACCUUGAGUCUGACAGAGGGGAGUGGAACUUCUGGUGUAGCGGUGGAAUGCGUAGAUAUCAGAAGGAACACCAAAGGCGAAGGCAGCUCUCUGGGUCAAGACUGACGCUGAGGUCCGAAAGCUAGGGUAGCGAACGGGAUUAGAUACCCCGGUAGUCCUAGCCGUAAACGAUGGGCACUUGACGUGGGCGUUUUUAGUCUACGUCGGAGCUAACGUGUUAAGUGCCCCGCCUGGGGAGUACGUUCGCAAGGAUG
rnacentral:rRNA from 1 species